rnacentral:tRNA from 1 species
GGGGUGUUAGCUCAGCUGGGAGAGCACUUGCCUUGCACGCAAGGGGUCAUCGGUUCGAUCCCGAUACGCUCCACCA